rnacentral:misc_RNA from 1 species
UGCGGAGGGAUCAUUACCGAGUUUACAACUCCCAAACCCCUGUGAACAUACCACUUGUUGCCUCGGCGGAUCAGCCCGCUCCCGGUAAAACGGGACGGCCCGCCAGAGGACCCCUAAACUCUGUUUCUAUAUGUAACUUCUGAGUAAAACCAUAAAUAAAUCAAAACUUUCAACAACGGAUCUCUUGGUUCUGGCAUCGAUGAAGAACGCAGCAAAAUGCGAUAAGUAAUGUGAAUUGCAGAAUUCAGUGAAUCAUCGAAUCUUUGAACGCACAUUGCGCCCGCCAGUAUUCUGGCGGGCAUGCCUGUUCGAGCGUCAUUUCAACCCUCAAGCACAGCUUGGUGUUGGGACUCGCGUUAAUUCGCGUUCCCCAAAUUGAUUGGCGGUCACGUCGAGCUUCCAUAGCGUAGUAGUAAAACCCUCGUUACUGGUAAUCGUCGCGGCCACGCCGUUAAACCCCAACUUCUGAAUGUUGACCUCGGAUCAGGUAGGAAUACCCGCUGAACUUAAGCAUAU